UUGGCGAGCGGCGGGUGGCACGCGUGGUUGCAGAAGGGGGCUGCAGGCGGCGGGUUGCGUGGAGGACUGCGAGCAGGAUUGCACGGUGGGCUGAGCACCCGGUUGCAUGGUGGGAGUCUGCAUCCAGGUUUUGUAGGUCUCGUUGCACCGGUACCGCCGCCAAGUUUUUGCAUGCAGCAUCUUGCACGUGGAGGGAUGCGCUGUGGGUGCGGGGUUUGCAUCUGGGGCAAUGUGUGGGUCAUGGUGCUGGGGGGGUCGCACACCUCGGGGUUGUACCCUCUCCUGCAGGCUCCGAAGGCGAUUUCCAGCGUUGCUUUUCCUGGCAGACCUGUUCUGCUGCAUCCCGGUUGCUGUGGGAGCACUCACCCCACGGCAGGCUGGGGGCUUCCUGGACACCCCAAUUAAAAUUUGGACCCCAUCAGCUUGUCACCCUGCCAAUGGCUGUGCACGCCUUGCAGUUAAACUUGAAAAAAAAAAACAAACCUACAAAUAAAGGAUGUAAGAACUCCUCAAAUAGGGAAAUGGGCAGGGGGUGACGUGAUGCCAAAGCAAAACCACAGGUGAAUACCACUGGGCCCUGUCAGGUCUGGCCAGAUCUCAAUCUGGGUUUCCCGCCGCCCCCCACCACUGAGAAGAAGCCAUGGUCGUUACUGUUAAUUUGCAUUAUUUUUUCUUAAUAUGCAUGAAGGGAGCUUUGCAGACAUAUUUUGGUCAAGGUAUAUGCAUGAGCAAACAGCCAUGUGAUAGCAUGAUCCUUUAAUUCUGAGGCACCUCUGGGUGGAUAUGUAUGGUUUCUAUACAUCUGGAAGCACGGGAAACUUUUUUGCUAUUUAAAAUAAAAGUAUUUCUAUAUUUAAAGCUUCGGUCCUGGAGGAUGCUGAUCUCCAGCUACACUGCGGAAUCUGCCCAUAAGCCACUAACUCUACUUAACACAAAGCACGAGCCAGGCUGGAAGUGUUAGUCCCUCCCCAACAAGCAAUUCCAAAUAUUUAUAUGUUGAUUCUUUUUAACUUUGGGACUCAAAUAGCCGGAGACGUUUUGGCAACUCGGUGGCAGAACAAAAAAACCAACAUGGGAAUUUGCCGGUCUAUUCCGCUUUGUGUAAACUGAGCAGAGAAAAUAUUUCCUGUUUCAGGAUCAAAUAGUGAGAGUUCAGCCAGCCAGUUUCUCUGGUUAUUUGAGAAGGGGUUAAAAAUGGGAUCAAAAAGACUCAAUCUUGCCAAUUUGGUGCCAUAUUUGGGCAGGAAGGUAUUUUAUUUUAGGGGGGGUCUCAAAUACAAAGUCACCAGCUGGUGUAGGAAAAAAAUUAAGGGGUGAAGGGGAGAAUUGGUUGCAAUGCUGCCUGCGGUGCUGAGGGCAGAGCAUCCCUCUGAAACUGAAAUUUAUUUGUGACAGCUGAUAUUGAAGUGCUUCAAAAAUAGAUGUUUGGAAAAAAAAUAAGUUUGUUGGGGGAGCUGAGGCUGGAUUCAAUACCGGCAAUAUUCUGUCAUUGCGGAAUUGUACUCGCUGCUUGCCUAGGUUCUGGGGUUUCAGUUGACUCUGAGAUCUUCCAGUAUUGGUGUUAGGCACAUCAAAAUCAAUUUAAUUUUGAGUUUGGUGUCUGCUUUGGGGCAGCAGCAGCAAAAAAGUAUUUCAGGGGAAAAGCUGAGCCUACAAAGUGUCUCUCUUAACUUUGCUGAUGAGCCAGAAAAAAGGAGUGUGUUCGGCCAUAUGCGGGGUUUGCAUCUCGUCCUGUGCCUUUUUGCUACCGGAGUCGUGGUCCGAGAGGCGUGCCAUGAAGUAAAUGGAAGAAAAAUGGGAGAGUUAAGGAAUAAAAGGAGAAUUACCAUUUCUUUUGGUUUGUUUCAGAUCCUGUUGCUCCAUGUGGUGCUGAUGGAAAUAGUCCAUGUUAGUGCUGCCGCUCCUGUUAGGGCUUCGAGAUCCGAGCAAGGUUGGUAUUAAUGGAUGUACCAGGACGCUGAGCAAAGUAAUAACUUAAAAAUAAUAAAUGCAGGAGACCAGUCCCAGCCCUCUUCAAUAACUACAUAAAUCGGCAGAAAUUCAUCUUAACAGGUAUCUAAAAUAGAGGGUUGCAAACCCCAGAACCAGUUACCUCCUCGCUGGCCCCAGGGAGGACGGCUUUGAGCCGCAAUUCUGCCGUUUUGCGUGUUUAUGCACAUCACUGGUGGUUUUGGGGGUGAAACCAGGCUCCUCUUAAACCUCCCAUGGUUGCUCCUGUAUAAGUGCUAUGCAAAAAUUAGGGUCACCAACACCUGGCGUGAGAAAAUGAGCCCUAAAACCACCCCAACCCCCUUUUUGUUGGGUGGGGUUUUGUUUGGUUUCUUGCAUUCUUGCAGUCACGGAGGCUGGAUGCCCCAUGUGAGGCUGGAGCACAUUAAAUGCAUCCAAAACCUGGGGUUACCCUGCACUGCGGGAUGGCAGAGGGUGCGCAGCGUUCCUCCAGCACCGCUUCAGGAUGUGCCCAGGCUCUCGCAAAGCCACCGUGGGCUGCAGCUCCCCAGGGACGCUGUGCAAAGACGGGGUGCAGCAGGAUUUGCUCCUCAAAGAGUUUGAUAAAUUGCUGCUAGAAAACAGCCAGGACCUUGGGAGACCUUCUGCUUGCUUCUUGCCUGACCGGAGCUAGGAAAGGUUUUCAGAACCGGAGGGAAAAUCCUCUUUGUGUUAAAGCAGCUUAUCCCGUGGAGGUUUGCUGGGUGAACCUUGCGCGAGUGGUGAAAAAAGGGGCGAAUCUGGGAAAGCAACUUGGGAAAGCAUCCGGACAUGGAGCAGGAGAAUGGAUUCGCCUCUGGCUUCGGGUGCAGACUGAGGGAAAGCUCCCGGCUUUGCUGUCAGAAAGGAUUCCGGUGAUUAAAGUUCACGUGCCGAGAUCAAACCGUAAAAGGUCCCGCAGCGAGGGAGCAGCGUGGGAGCGAUGCUUUCCACACGGGAAAACUGAACUUGGGAGCCAAAAAAUAGAUGUUUUUUCCAGAAAGGGAUGGUAGAGCUGGCUCAUGCUCCUCAUGAUGCUGAGGAUGCUGCAUCCCAGGGAUGCUUGGAGCAUCCCAGCGUGGUGAAGCCUGGCCGGCUGUGCUCGGGGGCUUGCACCACAACUUGCAGUUUGGUGCCGAGGAUCAAGGAUAAAAUGAGCUCACUGGUGGCACCGGUGCUCGGAUGCAUCGCGUCAUUUCCCAACUUUAAUAGGCGGAAGCAAAACUUGAAGGGGAAAUUUAACAAAUGCAGCUGGUAAAUAAGACUCUUCCCUUAACAAUGACUCGUGCCCAAGCAGAUGACAUUAGCAGGAUUCCUGUGGAAGUCGCCGGAGGGAACAUUGUUCGGUGGUUUUGCUGCAGGAGAUGGGAAAAUGGAUGAAGGAAACGCAAAAGCUCCGUUCCCCCAUGGCACCGGCUGCGGUGGUGAUCCCAGCGCCGCGUGCCGGCUGGGAGCAAUUCCUGAUGGCUGCUCUACAGGGCACCACGAGGCACAACCUGGUAUAAAUCCAAGACCUCCGCUGCUUGCCCAGGAAUUGGGAAUUUUAUUAUUUUUACGCCACCUCUCAUGGCUAUCGAGCAUCUCCUCCCUCCCCCCAAUGCUUACAGCCUUCCUCCUCCUCCUCCUCCUCCAAGCCAAGCCGAGAAACCCAGCAGGAGAAAAGCAACAGUUAUUCCCACCCAGCCCUGCUGCCCUGGAUGGGGAAGAAUGGGAUCGUGGAGCUGCUGGAGAUGCUGUGGCCAGCCAAACUGGACAUGCAGGGUCCAGCCAGUGGGUCUGUGUCACUGCAGCACUGGAUGGUGACACCGCGCCGGCUGCUCCCACCCCAGCACGCUCCAGCCGCUGGGCACCUUCCCAGGGGUUUUGCAUUUUUUCCAGUGCUCAUUAGCUGGGAAACCACUGAAAUAAGCUUUCCGGGUGGUUCGCGUGUGAUACGUUUACGAGCAGCCGUGAAAUUCGCUUUCGAGAUUGUAAACGAGUGAAGAAAAAAAAAAAGAAAGAAAAAAACCCACAAAACUCUGCUAAAAACCCUCCCCAAGAGAAAAUAUCUGAAGGGAAUUUUCCCAGGGCUACUGCUCAAAUCCUGUUGGAAAAGAUUACGCUGAAAAAAUCCUCCCGGCUUUUGCAAACUAUUGUUUGCAAAAUAAACCUGCACAUUUUUAUUUUUUUUUUUAAUUUGCAAAAAAAGAAAAUAAUAUUAUGAGUUUGCAAACUGUUCCUGGGGCAAA